rnacentral:tRNA from 1 species
GGGUGGUGAUCGUCACCCGGGUGGUCCGGGCUUUGCGGGCCCGCGGAGAGGAUGAGGCGAAGUAUCCGCUCCUGUUCCAUCUGGACGCCAUUCUC